rnacentral:rRNA from 1 species
AAACGACUCUCGGCAACGGAUAUCUCGGCUCAYGCAUCGAUGAAGAACGUAGCAAAAUGCGAUACUUGGUGUGAAUUGCAGAAUCCCGUGAACCAUCGAGUUUUUGAACGCAAGUUGCGCCCGAAGCCAUCUGGUUGAGGGCACGUCUGCCUGGGCGUCACGCAUCAC